rnacentral:rRNA from 1 species
UACGUAGGGUGCGAGCGUUAAUCGGAAUUACUGGGCGUAAAGCGUGCGCAGGCGGUCUCUUAAGACAGGUGUGAAAGCCCCGGGCUCAACCUGGGAACAGCGCUUGAGACUGGCACGCUCGAGUUCGGGAGAGGAUGGUGGAAUUCCCAGUGUAGAGGUGAAAUUCGUAGAUAUUGGGAAGAACACCGAUGGCGAAGGCAGCCAUCUGGGACCGAC